rnacentral:misc_RNA from 1 species
GAUGAAGAACGUAGCGAAAUGCGAUAAGUAAUGUGAAUUGCAGAAUUCCGUGAAUCAUCGAAUCUUUGAACGCACAUUGCGCCCCCUGGCAUUCCGGGGGGCAUGCCUGUCCGAGCGUCAUUUCUGCCCUCCAGCCCGGCUGGGUGUUGGGCGCUGUCCCCCCGGGGACACGCCCCAAAGGCAGUGGCGGCGCCGCGUCGGGUCCUCGAGCGUAUGGGGCUUUGUCAUCCGCUCGGGACGGACUCGUCGGCGCUGGUCUUCCUCCAGGCGACCCUUCGGGGCUCGUCUUCCUUCGGUUGACCUCGGAUCAGGUAGGGUUACCCGCUGAACUUAAGCAUAUCAAUAAGCGGAGGA